GAUGAACGCUGGCGGCGUGCCUAAUACAUGCAAGUCGAGCGAACAGACGAGGAGCUUGCUCCUCUGACGUUAGCGGCGGACGGGUGAGUAACACGUGGAUAACCUACCUAUAAGACUGGGAUAACUUCGGGAAACCGGAGCUAAUACCGGAUAAUAUAUUGAACCGCAUGGUUCAAUAGUGAAAGACGGUUUUGCUGUCACUUAUAGAUGGAUCCGCGCCGCAUUAGCUAGUUGGUAAGGUAACGGCUUACCAAGGCAACGAUGCGUAGCCGACCUAAGAGGGUGAUCGGCAACACUGGAACUGAGACACGGUCCAGACUCCUACGGGAGGCAGCAGUAGGGAAUCUUCCGCAAUGGGCGAAAGCCUGACGGAGCAACGCCGCGUGAGUGAUGAAGGUCUUCGGAUCGUAAAACUCUGUUAUUAGGGAAGAACAAAUGUGUAAGUAACUAUGCACGUCUUGACGGUACCUAAUCAGAAAGCCACGGCUAACUACGUG
rnacentral:rRNA from 1 species